ACGAACGCUGGCGGCGUGCUUCACACAUGCACGUCGAACGGAAAGGCCCUGCUUUUGUGGGGUGCUCGAGUGGCGAACGGGUGAGUAACACGUGAGUAACCUGCCCUUGACUUUGGGAUAACUUCAGGAAACUGGGGCUAAUACCGGAUAGGAGCUCCUGCUGCAUGGCGGGGGUUGGAAAGUUUCGGCGGGUGGGGAUGGACUCGCGGCUUAUCAGCUUGGUGGUGGGGGAGUGGCUUACCAAGGCUUUGGCGGGUAGCCGGCCUGGGAGGGCGGCCGGCGACAUUGGGACUGGGAUACGGCCCAGACGCCUACGGGAGGCAGCAGUGGGGAAUAUUGCACAAUGGGCGGAAGCCUGAUGCAGCAACGCCGCGUGCGGGAUGACGGCCUUCGGGUUGUAAACCGCUUUCGCCUGUGACGAAGCGUGAGUGACGGUAAUGGGUAAAGAAGCACCGGCUAACUACGUG
rnacentral:rRNA from 1 species